rnacentral:rRNA from 1 species
AUUGAACGCUGGCGGCAGGCCUAACACAUGCAAGUCGAGCGGAGCGGCGGACGGGUGCGUAAUGCCUAUGAAUCUGCCUGGUAGUGGGGGAUAACGUUCGGAAACGGGCGCUAAUACCGCAUCCUAUCCGAUGAGCCUAGGUCGGUUUCGCGAGUUGGUGGGGUAAAGGCCUACCAGGGCGACGAUCCGUAACUGGUCUGAGCGGAGGAUCAGUCACACUGGAACUGAGACACUGUCCAGACUCCUACGGGAGGCAGCAGUGGGGAAUAGGGGACAAUGGGCGAAAGCCUGAUCCAGCCAGGCCGCGUGUGUGAAGAAGGGCUUCGGAUUGUAAAGCACUUUAAGUUGGGAGGCGGUACCAGCAGAAUAAGCACCGGCUAACUACGUGCCAGCAGCCGCGGUAAUUC